GGCUCCAUAGUAUAGUGGUUAGCAUGUCUGCUUUACACGCAGAAGGUCUUGGGUUCAUGCCCUAGGUAGAGUCA
rnacentral:tRNA from 1 species